CCUGACUCAUUCCAAAGCCCAGUUUGUGUUCUGGAGGGGCUCAGGGCUGCGUGCAGAAUCCAGUCACAAAGGUAGGCACUGUUGCAAGGAGAAGUGUUUGGGGCAUCUCUUCAGCUCCUUCACAAAUGCUUUUUCUUCUUCUUUUUAAAAAAAGUAAUGAUACAAGCACAAGGUACCGAGUUCAAUCCCUGGUACCAAAAAAAAAAGUAAUGAUAAAAAUAUUUGGAUAAAUGUUACGUAUAUCUGCUUUAUAAAUCCAACAGUACUGCAAGGUUUAUAACCAGAACAGCCAUCCCCAAUGGUUAUCAUUUUUGCUCAAAUAAUAUUUUAUCUCCUAACAUUGUUGAAAUCUUUCAUCCAUUCUUAUCAUCUCUCCUACUUUUUAUUUUCCUUGAACCUUGUGGGUCUAUACACAUUUUUAAUUCCUUCAUUGCCAUCACACGGGUGAACUGGGGAAGGACAGAAGCUAAACACAUCUGUUAUAGUAAACAGAAGUCCCUCUUCUUGCCCCUGCUCCCCUGAAAGAUUCUGUGUACAUGCCUGCCUUUGGGGAGGAGGCUUGUACUGGGGAUUGAACCCAGGGAGGAGGAGGCUGCAUCUCAGUCCUUUUAUUUUAUUUUGAGACAAGGUCUUGCUACGCUGCCCAGGCUGGCCUCGAACUUGUGACCCUCCUGCUGCAGUGUCCCAAGUAGCUGGGAUCGAAGGCCCGCGCCACCAUGUCCAGCUCCAAAUGUCACUUUUCGGAAGUUGCCAAAUGGUCCAGUACUCAUUUAGCUCACACUGAGGCUGGCGCUGGGCUGGGAGCUCCUGGCCUGCAGAGGCUCCCUUCUGUGAGAACUCAGGGCCCUCCCUCCCCAGGACAUCUGGAGAGGGUGAUUACACAGCGGGACCUGGAUGGGGCGGCAGAGCUGGCGGCCCCCCCCACAGCCCCUCCACCCCGCCCUCAGCCCCCCUGGCUCUUUUCAAGCAGCCUGAGAGCACAGGGAAGGUGGUUUGUGCCGCGAGGAAGCCAAAAUCGCACUUCUGCUUGGUCUCGCAGGGCAGCUCAUCUGGAUCAGAACCGUGACCUCCCCGUUGUUCAUGCUGGCUGCAGGUCCUUGUUCAGUCCUUCUGCCUGCAGAGCGAGGGAAACCUCCCCGCCAGGGAGCGGGGCAACGUGGACUCUAGGACUGGGGUGCACUGAGUCUUGAUUUUGCUCUCCUCCUCCCACACAGGCCCAACUUUGGAAUGAAGAAAGCCACUUACCAGUGCAUAAAAAGAAAGCUGGAAAUUAACAACUCAAAAUGCUCCGGUAGGGAACUCUCCUAGAGCCUCCAGCCAGGCUCUUCUUCGGUUGCUGAGGUUGGAAAGCUGUGUUUCAUUUACAUAUUUAUUUCUGCUGCCAACCUGCAGCGGCUCCUGGCCACCUCCAUGAUUCUAGGAUGCAGACCACAUAGGGUAAGAGGGCAGAAGGAGGGAUGGUAAGAGACCAGACAAUGUACUUUGCACUCUGGCCUUUUUGGGCAGUGUGUGUAGCCCUGUACCUGGAAAUAUUUGGAUAAACCAGGCAUGGUGGCGCAUACCUGUGACCCCAGCCCUCAGGAAUCACUGGGAGUUUGAAGCCAGCCUGGGGUACGUGGUGAGUUCAAGACCAGCCUGAACUGCAUAGCGAGACCCUGUCUCAAAACAGAACCAAAAAAAAAUAUAUUUUUGAUAAAGGCAGAUAAACCUGGGCCAAAAAAGGAUUUGGAGUAAACCUGCUGGUUCUAACUUCCUUUAAGAGACCGCAGAGUUAGCUGGGUGUGGUGGCACGGCCUGCAGUCCCAGAACUCUGGGCAGUUGAGGCAGAAGGAUCAAAAGUUUGAGUCCAUACUGGUCAAGUUAGUGCCCUACAAGACCUUGUCUUACAAUAAAAAAUUUAAAAAGGGCUAUGAAUGUAGCUCAUUAGGAAGACCCUGGGUUCAAUCUCCAUACUAACCUAGGGAGAGAGAGAGAGAGAGAGAGGGAGAGAGAGAGGCAGACUCUGUGUGUUUAGCUCAACAUCCACCCCUCUGUAGCAAUCCUGCCAGGCUGACGCUGAGCUCUCACCAUACAGGGCCCUCGGGAGUGCCCAGUUACCACGCCCUCUGUUCUGCCAAGAAGAGCAGGAUCUGGGCCUUGGAGCGCUGUGCCGCAUGUCUGACACUGUAGAAUUUAAAGACCUGUGGGAAGAGACCCCUUUCCACAAAUAAGAGCUGCCGGAGCAGCCCAGGGGAAUCCCCAAGUCCCUCCCUGCCGUGAAUCAGGGCCCUGUGCUGAAACGCACAUCCCACUCCCUGAAACUCAGACUCACAAGUGAGUCAACAGCGCACAAGCCGAGGGGUAGACAGGGGGAAUUGACAGAGGCAUGCAGUUCCCAGGCACAGCGGGGGUGCCUGAGCCCCAAAGGGCUGGUUUCUCCAGGGCUGUAGAGGGGCUCACCAGGUGCUCUCCUCCCUGGACCUCGCAGAUGAGGCACGGUCGCCAGCAAAGCAGACUGCAAAGUGGUGUCCCGCUGGGUCUCACACGUGGAGAGUCAGGGCUUCCUCCUUGAGGAUCUCUGCCUUGGUUGCUCCUCUUUCUCCCCUUUCAUCAGUUCCUCAGGAGAGGGACUCUUUGUUCUGUUCCAUGUAGUAGGGACAGUGCCUGGAUCCACGGGCGAUUUUCUUUUACGCAGUUAACAUCAGUCAGAGUAGACUCUGGGUGGGAUGCUGAUCAGAGUCCAAGUGCAAAGAGCCGUGGGUUGGAGGCCUAGUCUCGGUUUUGUGGCUACAUUGCUGUGUGGCUUUGAAUAAAUCACACAACCUCUCUGGGAUCUCAGCUUUCUCACCU
ensembl:lncRNA